UGCGGGGUAGUGUACGGCAGCACGCGAGGCUCAUAAUCUCGCUGAUCAGGUUCGAUUCCUGACCCCGCAACCA
rnacentral:tRNA from 1 species